rnacentral:piRNA from 1 species
UGGCACUCAGAGCCUGCAAGUGUGGAACGU